GACGAACGCUGGCGGCGUGCUUAACACAUGCAAGUCGAACGGAAAGGCCCCUUUGGGGGUACUCGAGUGGCGAACGGGCGAGUAACACGUGAGUAACCUGCCCUUGACUUCGGGAUAACUUCAGGAAACUGGGGCUAAUACCGGAUAGGAAUCCUUGCUGCAUGGUGGGGGUUGGAAAGCUUCGGCGGUGUUGGAUGGACUCGCGGCCUAUCAGCUUGUUGGUGGGGUAGUGGCUUACCAAGGCUUUGACGGGUAGCCGGCCUGAGAGGGCGACCGGCCACAUUGGGACUGAGAUACGGCCCAGACUCCUACGGGGGGCAGCAGUGGGGAAUAUUGCACAAUGGGCGGGAGCCUGAUGCAGCAACGCCGCGUGCGGGAUGACGGGCUUCGGGUUGUAAACCGCUUUCAGCAGGGGCGAAGCUUGUGGUGACGGUACCUGCAGAAGAAGCACCGGCUAACUACGUG
rnacentral:rRNA from 1 species